rnacentral:rRNA from 1 species
UAGGGAAUCUUCCGCAAUGGGCGCAAGCCUGACGGAGCAAUGCCGCGUGAACGAUGAAGGCCUUCGGGUCGUAAAGUUCUGUUGUGGGGGAAGAAAUCGCAUUGUCAUAAUACGGCAGUGUGUUUGACGGUACUCCACGAGGAAGCCCCGGCUAAUUACGUGCCAGCAGCCGCGGUAAUACGUAAGGGGCAAGCGUUGUCCGGAAUCACUGGGCGUAAAGCGCACGUAGGCGGUUUAGCAAGUCAGGGGUGUAAGCUCUAGGCUUAACCUAGAAAUUGCCUCUGAAACUACUUCACUUGAGUAUUAGAGGGGAAGCUGGAAUUCACGGUGUAGCGGUGAAAUGCGUAGAUAUCGUGGAGAACACCCGUGGCGAAGGCGGGCUUCUGGCUAAUUACUGACGCUGAGGUGCGAAAGCUAGGGGAGCGAACGGG